rnacentral:rRNA from 1 species
AAGUCGUAACAAGGUUUCCGUAGGUGAACCUGCGGAAGGAUCAUUACCGAGUUAGGGUCGCCUUCCAGGUGCCCGACCUCCCAACCCUGUGUCAAAAUUACCUCAGUUGCUUCGGUGGGCCGGGAGCGACCAACUGGCUUAGUAGGCCAGGCUGGCUUCGCGACCGGUGGCCGGGGAAUACCCCGGCGGCAGAGCGUCCACCGAUGGCCUCUACAAAACUCUUGAAACCCAAACCUGUCGUCUGAAUUUACUUGAUGUUAAUCAAAAAAAACAAAACUUUCAACAACGGAUCUCUUGGUUCUGGCAUCGAUGAAGAACGCAGCGAAAUGCGAUAAGUAAUGCGAAUUGCAGAAUUUCCGUGAGUCAUCGAAUCUUUGAACGCACAUUGCGCCCACUGGCAUUCCGGUGGGCAUGCCUGUUCGAGCGUCAUUAUCCCCCCUCAAAACUCCUGUUUUGGUGUUGGGCCACGUCGGUCACCCCGACCGACGGGCCUCAAAGACAAUGACGGCGUCCGUGGGACCCUCUUCGCAACGAGCUUUCGUUAGCACGCGUCGAGUCUAAAGGACCUUCCGGGCCGGCCACCUUUUAUCUAUAUCACAAGGUUGACCUCGGAUCAGGUAGGAAUACCCGCUGAACUUAA